GGGCAUGUAGCUCAGUGGUAGAGCGCCCGCUUUGCAUCAUGUAUGCGGGAGGUCUGCGGUUCGAUCCCGCACUUGUCCA